rnacentral:lncRNA from 1 species
GUUUGACUUUCAAGUGGGAGAACAAUGUGGGAGACACAUCUCAGGGCGUCAGGCUACACGGUGUCGGCGGCGGGACGGGCUGUGAAGCAGGAUGUCCACAUUGACCCUCACAAAGCCGGGGAGAUCGAUUGGAGGUCAGAGGAAGAAGAAUUAAAAGAAGAAAGUGGAGAUUUAAAAGAAGAAGAAGAAGAAGAAGAAGAAGAAGAAGAAGAAGAAGGAUGAAAAGAAGAACAAUUCAAAGAAGAAGAUGAAGAAGAUGAAGAAUUAAAAUAAGAAGCUGAAGAAUUAAAGAAGAAGGAGAAGAAGAAGAAGAAGAAGAAGAAGAAGAAGAAGAAGAAGAAGAAGAAGAAGAAGAAGAAGAAGAAGAAGAAGAAGAAGAAGACAAAUUACAGUAAUAAGAAGAAGAAGAACUAGAAAAUGCAUUUCAUGCAGAAAAUGCGGUGAGUGCUGUAAGCCACAUAGAUUAAGACAUAAAGAAACAUUAAAAGGCUUAAAACAAGUGAAGAGAUUUGAACCGAGUUCAAAAGUCUAAAUCGAGUAAACAAUAUAAACAUGCACACCAUUUAUAAAAAAUGUCAAUGGUUAGGAACAAAUUAAUUGAGAGCUGAAUGAAAAGCACAAAGCAUUGCUAAAAAUGCAGAAAUGUAAAAGUAAUUGAACUGAAGCAUCUGAAAGGUCAAAUGUAUUGCCCUGCACUGCUGAAAAAUCUGAAAGGUAAAAUGCUGAAGUAGAAGUAAUAGUAGCAGUAGCUGAAGUAGAAGUAGUAGCAGCAGUAGUCGCUGAAGUAGUAGUAGCUGAAUUAAUAGUGGUACUAAUAGUUGGGCUGCACAAAGGAUAUGCCUUAUGAAAGGUUUGGGAUUGAUUGAUGUUUGCAGAAAGAAUUAUAGUAAUCCCACCCGUUUAUUUUUUUUAAACCAGACGAAAUUGUAUGCACUCACCUAAUCAGCCUAACUUUAUUAGAAGUAGUCAAAUUGGGGGGGGAACUGCCCAAUCUGGCAACGCUACCUGAACGUCGUAAAAAUUUGUCAAAUUGUGCGAGAAAAACUGCCCAAUCUAGAAACACUGUCUUUACGUCCUCGCUCUCUAACCUCAGCGUAAAUCAACAAGACCAACUGAAAACAAGCCGACAUGGAACUUAACUGUGAUUUUGAAAAAAGUAUAAAGGUAAUCGAAAUUCUGUUUCCAGAUUUUUAUUAAGUGUGUUGAUUUGUUAAACCUUUGAACGAAGGUUACCGAUAAAAUAUUGACCAAAUUAAAAAGUUUGAAGUAGUAAGUGUCUUUGUGAAUUUUUUGGACGGCUCUGUCGUCCUCCAAUUGACUUCCAUUGUAACAUUUUUUUUUUUAAAGUAGAAUAUCUUAAAAAGUAUAAAAUAUUUUAAAAAUCUGAAAAGAAGCGCGCGAUUCCAAGCUAAUCUGAACAUUGGAAAAUUGGAAUGAAGUCUCUAGGUGAAAAGUUGAGGAAGGAGCUAGGUCCCAAAGUUUGUAGAGAAUAAUAAAGAAAGAAGGAAUAAAACCUUAGGAAGAACAAUAGUUGAGCGCUGCAUGCAGCACUCACCUAAUUAAAAGAAGAAGAAGAAGAAGAAGAAGAAGAAGAAGAAGAAGAAGAAGAAGAAGAAGAAGAAGAAGAAGAAGAAGUAGAAGAAGAAGAAGAAGAAGAAGAGGAGGAAAAAGAAGAAGAAGAAGAAGAAGAAGAAGAAGAAGAAGAAGAAGAAGAAGAAGAAGAAGAAGAAGAAGAAGGAGAAGAAGGAGAAGAAUAAGGAGAAGUAGAAGAACACCGUUGCGACACGAGAUGGCACCGAGGCUCUCUCUUCCAGCAUUCCUU